rnacentral:rRNA from 1 species
GAUGAACGCUGGCGGCGUGCCUAAUACAUGCAAGUCGAGCGAACGGACGAGAAGCUUGCUUCUCUUAUGUUAGCGGCGGACGGGUGAGUAACACGUGGAUAACCUACCUAUAAGACUGGGAUAACUUCGGGAAACCGUAGCUAAUACCGGAUAAUAUUUUGAACCGCAUGGUUCAAAAGUGAAAGACGGUCUUGCUGUCACUUAUAGAUGGAUCCGCGCUGCAUUAGCUAGUUGGUAAGGUAACGGCUUACCAAGGCAACGAAGCAUAGCCGACCUGAGAGGGUGAUCGGCCACACUGGAACUGGGACACGGUCCAGACUCCUACGGGAGGCAGCAGUAGGGAAUCUUCCGCAAUGGGCGAAAGCCUGACGGAGCAACGCCGCGUGAGUGAUGAAGGUCUUCGGAUCGUAAAACUCUGUUAUUAGGGAAGAACAUAUGUGUAAGUAACUGUGCACAACUUGACGGUACCUAAUCAGAAAGCCACGGCUAACUACGUG